CAAAACAUGUACCCAGAAGUCUCUUCUCCCAGCACACAUCCUGUGAGCGACUUGAAUUGGCACAACUGGGCCUGUAUAACUCAAUGAACUGGGUUUAACAGCCUCACGAUACAGACAUGAUAGGAAUAUUGCUGACAUCUUUCCAGGACCCAACCAUAACCCCACUGUUGUUGUUACAUCAACUGCUACCAAUGACAGUACUGUACAAAGAGUUGUUCCCUCUGCCCAAACAACAGGGCAGUGAUGUCACACAAGGACACUUAUGGUGUGUGAAAGGACAAGUGGCCAGGGGGACCAUCAGAGGAAAGUGGAUACAAUCCCUUUCCCCCUCCCACCCCCACUCUGUCCACAACCUUUUCCUUGUUGUUAAUACUUUGAGAGAGGUGUUUUGCUGGAGGCAGCUAAGCUGUUGUGUCCUGUUCAGGGAGGCACCAUUGCUCAGGGGUAGAGCUCAUGCUUUUGCAUAGCCAAGUUCUCAAGUUCAAUCCCAGCCAUCUCCUGGUAGCUCUGGGAAAGUCCUUGUCUGAAACCCUGGAGGUCAGUUUAGAUCAGUGGUCCCCAACAUUUUUUUCGCCAUGCCCCACCUAAGCAUCUCUACAAUCCUGACACACACACCCCAGUGACAUAUAAUUAUUAUUGUUCAAAAAGUGAACUCUUAUUCACAUGGAGCAAGUCUAAAAGGCCUGUUAUGUACUAAGCUUAGAUCCUAGAACAAUAGGCAAGUAGGAUCCUAGAAUGCAACAACUGAUUCGCCUGCAGAAAAAGACCAAUCAGGCUCCAGGAGGGAAGCAGAAUCAAGCCAAUCAGACGGGACUCAUUGUGUACAUAAUGUAUAUAAAAGCCUGAGCUUUGGUGGGGCAAAUGAAUCACUGUUUUACAAACUGCAAUAAAGAGCAUGAAAUCACUACAGGACUCUGAGUAUAUUUCAAGGCCAUUAACUGUUAAUAACUCAUUCUAGAAUUACCCCCUUAAAAAUCAAAUUGUCCCCCUGUGGGGUGUGUUCCCCUCGAUGGGAACCAUGGAUUUAGACAAUACUGAGCUUGAUGGCCCUGAUGUUCUGAUUUGGCUUUGAGUAAAGCAGGUCCCUGUCUUCAUGUAUUUCUCUGUGUGCUUCAUCAGAGACUAUUUCAACAUAAGAGAACACUUUGUGAGAUAUUUUAAGUUUUUUAAAAACACUUUAGAAUAAAAUGGGUGACAGGUGACUAACAGGCCUUAAUUUAAAACCAACUAUUUAAAAUGGAAGGGGGUGAUUAUUACCAUUGUUGAGCUGAUAAAUGCAGCUUGCUUCAGCCUGUGCAAUCCUAGCAGUACAAUUGAAGUGGAAAUGUCUUCCGCUGGAAGAAACGGUAUGAAACCAUCAGCUUCUGAAGUCUGCCUUGCAAAGCAUGUGAAGUUUAGAUAAGCACGCUGGUUUUCAGAUGCUUAGCUAAGCGUGACCUUUAAUAGUUGGAAUUGCCAUAUUUCGUAUGGCGGGUAUUGCUCAGAUCCUUCCCUCUGCCAACAAGCUUUCAACUCACCUCAGAUAAGAAAGCAUCUUAAACGGCUCAUACUGAAAGGAAAGCAGACAGGUGCAGUGACAGCAGGACCCUUGUUUUUUGACAUUAUGUAGGUGGUAGAGGAGCUGUUUGCGACAGAUUGCAGGACGAGGAGGAAGUGACACAAACAUCCUGUUCUCAAUUUCACAGAAAGAGAAACAGAAAACAACAGCCGAGCUCAAUUUGUGAGCUCACAGUUGGUUUGCUCUCUCGGGCAUCAUCUACCUUUGACUCAUGCACAAGUGCUUGACAAUCUGUCUAUCUCUCAUAUCUGUACAAAAGCCAUACGAGUUCAUUCACGAUUAUUCCCAUUUUACAGAUGGGGAAUUUAAUCUGAGGAACACUGGCUACAAUUCAAGGGACUGGAAGUGGGACAAGGAAUGUCAUUUGUCUUCUGUCCAUGUCUGGAUGUACAAAACUCUGCAAGCAAAGCACACAAUAAGCAGUAUGAUAGAGAAGCCAAUGAGGCAGUUUGUUUACAAGAACUUCUGUUGCUCUGUUUUUCUGUCCACUAUCUAUGUUUGGAUAAUUCGAGGUGCUUUGUUGACUCAGAGCGAUUCACUUUGCUGCCACCUAACUGCAAAACCAGCUGCAAGUGAUGCCAAACAGUCUUUUCCAAGUAUACAACAGGUCUUAUAUUAAACUAGUUUUGAAAACUAUGUUUAAUCCUCUCAGCAGUUGAUUCUUUCUCUACUCGAUGCUCCUCACUCUGACUUUGUGGUAAACCCCUACUACUAUGUUGAGGAAAUGAUUAAUUAAAAGAGAGCGCCCAUUCAGUGUGAACUUCUGAGUAUAUAAGAAAAGACCACACGACCUAUUCACAGUUUAUUAAUCUAUAAAUAAGAUGAAUAUGGCAUGGAAAGUACAAAAAGUGAUGCAGCAAGGGACUUAAAACUGAGCAGUCUCAGCUUGGCUAAGGUAAAUCUCUGAAGCAAACAAAAUAUACACAGUAACUAAAUGCAAAAAGAUUACAUCAGUUGAAUAUGACAGAAGAACACAGCCAGCAAUACAAAGUGGUUUUUUAUCUGUAUUUUUAUCUUUUUGUUUUUAUAUUGUUUUAAUUCUACUAUAUUUAAAUUACUUUUUAACUAUUAUUAACUAUUAAUUACUUUUUAACUAUUUAUAACUAUAUGUUUUUGGGAAAAGAGGGAUAUAAAUAAAUACAACAGCAGCAGCAGCAACAACAACAACAACAACAACAACAAAUAUUCAUCUAGAUUCUGUUUCUCAGCUUUCCAUAGGUAUCUGGUUGGCCACUGUGGAAACAGGUUGUGGAGAUAGAUGGGCCUUGAUUUGCUGAAGCAAGACAUUUCUUAUGCACUUGGGUGAUAGAUGCUGCACAGGGAAGUUGGUCAUUUAUUCAGACUUACAGCUGUCUUCUCAUCUGUAAAUGUUGGCAGGUGAUUCAGCACAGGCAAAAGGAAGUACUUGGAAAUUACUUUAAUGAGCCUUACUUCUGCACAGAUAUGGCUAGGAUUGCAACCUUAACCGCUAUAGGCUACACCAGCUUUCUAGGAAUUUUGUUUGUUGUUUUUGUCAAAGCAUAAAUUGUGAAGCAUCAUGCAAUUUAGGACCAAACUCUGGGGUCUAUUUUGGGGUGCGUCUUUUAAAAAUGAUGGUGGCAGAAAAUGUUUUUUGUAAAAAAAAGCUAUAAUUGUUCUGUAAAAGAAAAAGCAAUAUGGUUGACAAUAAGUUUGCUUACAUCUGAUUUUGUGUUGCCAUACCCCUGAAAUGCCACCCGGAGCACUAUUUGGUGGAAAGGUGGGACAGAAAUUCAACGAGUGAAUAGAUAAACUUCAAAGCAGUGCAUAAUCAACAACUGUUAACUAAGUUCCAAUUGAAAGUCCCAAUUGGUAAAAGGAAUUCUGCAGACCUAGGGACACAGGUAGCGCUGUGGGUUAAACCACAGAGCCUAGGACUUGCUGAUCAGAAGGUUGGCGGUUUGAAUCCCCACGACGGGGUGAGCUCCUGUUCCUCGGUCCCAGCUUCUGCCAACCUAGCAGUUCAAAAGCACGUCAAAGUGCAAGUAGAUAAAUAGGUACCGCUCCGGCAGGAAGGUAAAAGGUGUUUCUGUGCACUGCUCUGGUUCUCCAGAAGCGGCUUAGUCAUGCUGGCCACAUGACCCGGAAGCUGUCUGCGGACAAACGCCGGCUCCCUCGGCCAAUAAAGCGAGAUGAGUGCCGCAACCCCAGAGUCGGCCACGACUGGACCUAAUGGUCAGGGGUCCCUUUACCUUUACCUUAUUCUGCAGACCUAAAGAGGUUUGCUCAAGUAUACAGUUUUGCAGGUCCACAUUGACAGAAUUAAAGGUGAACAUGUAACAAAGCUGCAAAAUCUAAGCAUCUUCAGAAAGCUAUCAUAGUCCUUGCGUUUAGCACUGCCUGGUAAAGUACUCAGCCCAGUCUAGCUUCGUGCAGUCUUGCAAUUUAAGGGGAGUUAGAACAAAAAAGGGACACGGGAGGCAUUGUGGUCUAAACCACUGAGCCUCUUGGACUUGCCAAUCAGAAGGUUGGCAGUUUGAAUCCCUGCACCGAGGUGAGCUCCCCUUGCUCGGUCCCAGCUCCUGUCAACCUACCAGUUCGAAAGCACCCCCCCCCCCAAAAAAGUGCAAGCAGAUAAAUAGGUACCACUCCAGUGGGAAGGUAAACAGCGUUCCAUGUGCUGCUCUGGCUUUGCCGGAAGUGGCUUAGUCAUGCUGGCCACAUGACCCGGAAAAACUGUCUGUGGAAGCGGACAAACACUGGCUCCCUCUGCCUGUAAAGUGAGAUGAGCGCU
rnacentral:lncRNA from 1 species